rnacentral:rRNA from 1 species
AAAUUGAAGAGUUUGAUCAUGGCUCAGAUUGAACGCUGGCGGCAGGCCUAACACAUGCAAGUCGAACGGUAACACAGAGAGC